rnacentral:rRNA from 1 species
UACAGAGGUCUCAAGCGUUGUUCGGAAUCACUGGGCGUAAAGGGUGCGUAGGCGGCACGGUAAGUCAGAGGUGAAAUCCCGGAGCUCAACUUCGGAAUUGCCUCCGAUACUGCCGUGCUUGAGGACUGGAGAGGAGAUUGGAAUUCACAGUGGAGCAGUGAAAUGCGUAGAUAUUGUGAGGAACACUAGUGGCGAAGGCGAAUCUCUGGACAGUUCCUGACGCUGAGGCACGAAAGCUAGGGGAGCAAACAGG